rfam:Populus trichocarpa scaffold_16_contig_76, whole genome shotgun sequence.
UCUAGAACUUGAGAUAUGGGCUGAACACUGAACAGUGUCUGAGAUGUAUGAUAGAUUUGGACUACUAUGUUGUUGCUAUAAUUUGAACUUGAAAACAGCCUUUUUGAAUCUUGGAUUCCGCAUGAACGUUUUAGGCCUAUGUCUUAGCUUUCCAUG